GAGCGGCAGCGCGGGGCAACCUGGCGGCGAGCGGCGAACGGGUGAGUAAUACAUCGGAACGUGCCCAGACGUGGGGGAUAACUACUCGAAAGAGUGGCUAAUACCGCAUACGAUCUACGGAUGAAAGCGGGGGAUCGCAAGACCUCGCGCGUCUGGAGCGGCUGAUGGCAGAUUAGGUAGUUGGUGGGAUAAAAGCCUACCAAGCCAACGAUCUGUAGCUGGUCUGAGAGGAUGAUCAGCCACACUGGGACUGAGACACGGCCCAGACUCCUACGGGAGGCAGCAGUGGGGAAUUUUGGACAAUGGGCGAAAGCCUGAUCCAGCCAUUCCGCGUGCAGGAUGAAGGCCCUCGGGUUGUAAACUGCUUUUGUACAGAACGAAAAAGCUCUGGCUAAUACCUGGAGUCCAUGACGGUACUGUAAGAAUAAGCACCGGCUAACUACGUGCCAGCAGCCGCGGUAAUACGUAGGGUGCAAGCGUUAAUCGGAAUUACUGGGCGUAAAGCGUGCGCAGGCGGUUUUGUAAGACAGAGGUGAAAUCCCCGGGCUCAACCUGGGAACUGCCUUUGUGACUGCAAGGCUGGAGUGCGGCAGAGGGGGAUGGAAUUUCUGCGUGUAGCA
rnacentral:rRNA from 1 species